rnacentral:rRNA from 1 species
UAUUGGACAAUGGGGGAAACCCUGAUCCAGCCAUGCCGCGUGUGUGAUGAAGGCCUUCGGGUUGUAAAGCACUUUCGCACGUGACGAUGAUGACGGUAACGUGAGAAGAAGCCCCGGCUAACUUCGUGCCAGCAGCCGCGGUAAUACGAAGGGGGCAAGCGUUGUUCGGAAUUACUGGGCGUAAAGGGCGCGUAGGCGGUGCGUUAAGUCAGAUGUGAAAGCCCUGGGCUCAACCCGGGAAUUGCAUUUGAUACUGGCGCGCAGAUCCAGAGAGGUUGGUGAAUUCCCAGUGAAGGUAAAUUCGAAGUUGGAAGACACCGGUGGCGAGCGCCAACUGGCUGGUUAGCGUGGCCAGUUGUCUU